rnacentral:rRNA from 1 species
AUGAGGAUGAUUGAGAGAUUUCCUGGGGAGGAGAUGAUAUACUAUAGUUUUGAUCGCGCGGAGGAUGAUCCACACAACUACUACCCUGCAGAAUUCUUGAAUUCAUUGACACCUAAUGGUCUACCUCCCCAUAUCCUCAAGUUGAAGAUUAAUUGUCCUAUUAUAUUGUUACGGAACAUUGACCCAGCGAGUGGGUUGUGCAACGGGACGAGGCUGAUUGUCCGAGGGUUCAUGAGGAAUGCAAUUGAUGCUGAGAUUGUGCUGGGCCAGCAUGCCGGUAAGAGGGUGUUCCUUCCUCGAAUUCCUCUUUGCCCAUCAGAUGAUGAGAUGUUUCCAUUUAGGUUCAAGAGGAAGCAGUUUCCAGUCAGGCUUAGCUUUGCUAUGACCAUUAACAAGGCACAGGGACAAACUAUACCAAAUGUUGGUGUAUACCUCCCUGAACCGGUAUUUUCACACGGGCAACUCUAUGUUGCUCUUUCUAGAGCUAUAUCAAGAAGUAAUAUGAAGAUUCUUACUGUCCCAGAAAAGCAAAAGGAAGGCCAAACCAACUCCAAUGCAAAUUUUACAAAGAACAUAGUCUACAAAGAAGUUCUCAGCGUGUAG